CAAUGAAUAAAUGUCAGUCAUGACUUUUGUCUUGUGAAUGGCCUGUUUACAACCAUUGUUCAUUUUUCUAUAACAAGGUUUGAAGGCAUAUAUUUUUGCUCAUUCCACACAGUGUUUCAUAGUUCUUUUCAAAUUAAGCCAGUUGCCAACAUUUAGAUAUUGAGAUAGUUAAUAUUUUUUAAAUUUGUAUUUUCAGCUUCUCUCGAAAAUGUGGAGGCUCUGACAACACUGGGCCCCCACUGGCAACAAAUGGCUGAAGCAGAAGAAAGGGUCUUCUUCUAGUGGGCAGGGGCACCCAUGGGCCCCACAUUCCUAUCCUCUUGGAACAGGCCACUGACCUUCUCCUGUGACCUGCCUCACCUCUGCAGGCACUUGGUUUUACAAUUCCUGUUCUAUUGGGUUAUUUACCUUUUGUUUUUAGUAGAUUUUUUAGUAGCUCUUUGCACAUGCAGACUUAUUCAUCUAUCUCUUCUACCCAUUAACUAUUUUCUUCCAUUAAUUCCCUUGUAGUAUGAUCACAGCUCACUGCAGCCUCCACCUCCCCAGACUCAAGUGAUCCUCCUACCUCAUCCUCCCCAGAAAUUGCACCUCUAGGGUGUGUCCUACAGAAACACUCCCCACAAACACAUAGAUAACCUUACAACCAUGUUCAUUGCAGCACUAUUAAUGGUAGCAAAAUACUGGAAACAACCUACCUGCUAAUC
rnacentral:lncRNA from 1 species